CAAUAGCGUAUAUUAAAGUUGUUGCAGUUAAAAAGCUCGUAGUUGGACUUCUGAUUCGAAAGAUCGGUCCGCCGCAAGGCGAGCACUGAUUCUUCGAGUCUUCCUCUCGUAGUUGUUUGGCGCACUUGAUUGGGUGCCAGAUGAAUAUGGGACCUUUACUUUGAAAAAUUAGAGUGUUCAAAGCAGGCAAUCGCUUGAAUACAUUAGCAUGGAAUAAUGGAAAAGGACUUCAACCUCUUCUGUUGGUCUGAGAGGCUGUAGUAAUGAUUAAUAGGGAUAGUUGGGGGCAUUAGUACUUAACUGUCAGAGGUGAAAUUCUCCGAUUUGUUAAAGACUAACUUAUGCGAAAGCAUUUGCCAAGGAUGUUUUCAUUAAUCAAGAACGAAAGUUAGGGGAUCAAAGACGAUCAGAUACCAU
rnacentral:rRNA from 1 species